AUUGAACGCUGGCGGCAGGCCUAACACAUGCAAGUCGAACGAGUGGCGGACGGGUGAGUAAUGUCUGGGAAACUGCCUGAUGGAGGGGGAUAACUACUGGAAACGGUAGCUAAUACCGCAUACCAUCGGAUGUGCCCAGAUGGGAUUAGCUAGUAGGUGGGGUAAAGGCUCACCUAGGCGACGAUCCCUAGCUGGUCUGAGAGGAUGACCAGCCAGACGGGAACGGAGACAAGGUCCAGAUUCGUAGGGGAGGUAGGAGGGGGGAAUAAUGCAGAAUGGGCGCAAGCGGGACAGAGCCACGCCGAGUGUAUGAAGAAGGCCAUCGGGUAGUAAAGGACUUUCAGCGGCGAGGCGUUACCCGCAGAAGAAGCAACGGCUAACUCCGGGCCAGCAGCCGCGGUAAUUC
rnacentral:rRNA from 1 species